rnacentral:rRNA from 1 species
CUAGCUACAGGCUUAACACAUGCAAGUCGAGGGGUAUCAUUUCAGUUUGCUUGCAAACUGGACAUGGCCACCGGCGCACGGGUGAGUAACACGUAUCCAACCCGCCGAUAACUCGGGGAUAGCCUUUCAAAAGAAAGAUUAAUACCCGAUGGCAUAAUUAGACCGCAUGGCCUUAUUAUUAAAGAAUUUCGGUUAUCGAUGGGGAUGCGUUCCAUUAGGCAGUUGGUGAGGUAACGGCUCACCAAACCUUCGAUGGAUAGGGGUUCUGAGAGGAAGGUCCCCCACAUUGGAACUGACACACGGUCCAAACUCCUACGGGAGGCAGCAGUGAGGAAUAUUGGUCAAUGGACGAGAGUCUGAACCAGCCAAGUAGCGUGAAGGAUGACUGCCCUAUGGGUUGUAAACUUCUUUUAUAUGGGAAUAAAGUUUUCCACGUGUGGAAUUUUGUAUGUACCAUAUGAAUAAAGAUCGGCUAACUCCGUGCCAGCAGCCGCGGUAAUACAGAAGAUCCGAGCGUUAUCCAGAUUUAUUGGGUUUAAAGGGAGCGUAGGUGGACAGUUAAGUCAGUUGUGAAAGUUUGCGGCUCAACCGUAAAAUUGCAGUUGAUACUGGCUGUCUUGAGUACAGUAGAGGUGGGCGGAAUUCGUGGUGUAGCGGAGAAAUGCUUAGAUAUCACGAAGAACUCCGAUUGCGAAGGCAGCUCACUGGACUGCAACUGACACUGAUGCUCGAAAGUGUGGGUAUCAAACAGGAUUAGAUACCCUGGUUACCCCACACAGUAAACGAUAAAUACUCGCUGUUUGCGAUAUCCAGUAAGCGGCCAAGCGAAAGCAUUAAGUAUUCCACCUGGGGAGUACGCCGGCAACGGUGAAACUCAAAGGAAUUGACGGGGGCCCGCACAAGCGGAGGAACAUGUGGUUUAAUUCGAUGAUACGCGAGGAACCUUACCCGGGCUUAAAUUGCAUUUGAAUAAUCUGGAAACAGGUUAGCCGCAAGGCAAAUGUGAAGGUGCUGCAUGGUUGUCGUCAGCUCGUGCCGUGAGGUGUCGGCUUAAGUGCCAUAACGAGCGCAACCCUUAUCUUUAGUUACUAACAGGUCAUGCUGAGGACUCUAGAGAGACUGCCGUCGUAAGAUGUGAGGAAGGUGGGGAUGACGUCAAAUCAGCACGGCCCUUACGUCCGGGGCUACACACGUGUUACAAUGGGGGGUACAGAAGGCAGCUACCUGGUGACAGGAUGCUAAUCCCAAAAGCCUCUCUCAGUUCGGAUCGAAGUCUGCAACCCGACUUCGUGAAGCUGGAUUCGCUAGUAAUCGCGCAUCAGCCAUGGCGCGGUGAAUACGUUCCCGGGCCUUGUACACACCGCCCGUCAAGCCAUGAAAGCCGGGGGUACAAGAAGUACGUAACCGCAAGGAGCGUCCUAGGGUAAAACCG